rnacentral:lncRNA from 1 species
GGAGCUCCAGCACACACUUGAAGGUUAGAUUGUAUUUAGUAGUUUUCAAGAAUGACAUCUAGCUAACUUCAAAGUCCAUGUUAAUAUUUUAUUUACAUGUGGGAAUCAUUCCUUCUAUUAUUUGGAUCUUGGAAUUUCGCUCAGGUCAGGAGGUUUGGGUCAAGGUAUCCUAUCCAGGGGGUCACGUUGCUGCCCCAGUCAUUGAUUGCCCUUCUUCCUGUUGUCUGCAGUUUGCCUGUGGUUGACAGGACACAUGUACCUCACUCAGACCAGUCACUGGUCUCUUCUUUAAGGUCUUCAAUGUGCUGACUUAGUGUGAGAGCUCUUUUUAAAUCCUGGCAGUGUCUUACUAAGCUUGUUUCAAGAAAGCUCUAUUAAAAUGAAAAGAAACACUACUUCUAGAGAUUAAAAUUGAUCUUAGGGUUUUUUCUUCAUUUCUUAACUUCCUUCCAUAAAAUUAAUACUACCACCAACCUGGUUUUUGAUGUUUAAUGUCAUUAAGUAUUGUUACUUUGUUUGGGGCACAAAGUGAGCAGUCGCUUCUCAUUUGACUGUAGCAGUCAUACAUUCCACCUGAGAUUAUCUGGGAACAUGGCUGCUGCUGUUCCCUUUCAGUCGCUGUAGUUUCUUCCUUUAGUCACAUAACUGUGUGGCUUGUUUCCUGAGUCCCUUCAGACCUCUGGCCAGAUUACCCUUAGCCAAAGAGAGAACUCUAAAACAGCACUUCUAGAAAAGUUGUGACAUACUGUAUGUUGACAUGUUUAGUGUGUACUCUUGACCCCUGCACCCCAUGUUACUGAAUGCACAGGUGCUCACACACAACUAAGUUUGUUCUCUGUUGUUUCUAGAAUGGUGCCUGCUUCUCCUGGUCAAUAUACAUUUGUUAAAUAUGUGAAUGGACGUAAUUUUUUAUUUGUUCAUAAGGACCUG